rnacentral:rRNA from 1 species
GCCGCGGUAUCCUAACCGUGCGAAGGUAGCGUAAUCACUUGUUCUUUAAAUAAGGACUAGUAUGAACGGCACCACGAGGGUUAUACUGUCUCCUUUUUCCAAUCAAUGAAACUGAUUUUCCCGUGAAGAAGCGGGGAUACUUCUAUAAGACGAGAAGACCCUAUGGAGCUUCAAACCAAAUAGCAUCGGCUAUACCUUAAUAUUUUAAUCAAUAACUUUUAUUAUCGCCCUCUGACUAUUAGUUUUAGGUUGGGGUGACCGCGGAACAAAAAUUAACCUCCAUGGUGAAAACUUUUUCCUGAGCCAAGAGCCACAGCUCUAAGCACCAAAACAUUGACACAAAUUGACCCAAUAACUUGAGCAACGAACCAAGUUACCCUAGGGAUAACAGCGCAAUCCACUUCAAGAGCUCCUAUCGACAAGUGGGUUUACGACCUCGAUGUUGGAUCAGGGUAUCCUAGUGGUGCAGCCGCUGCUAAUGGUUCGUUUGUUCAACGAUUAAAACCCUACGUGAUCUG